rnacentral:rRNA from 1 species
GAUGAACGCUGGCGGCGUGCCUAAUACAUGCAAGUCGAGCGAACAGACGAGGAGCUUGCUCCUCUGACGUUAGCGGCGGACGGGUGAGUAACACGUGGAUAACCUACCUAUAAGACUGGGAUAACUUCGGGAAACCGGAGCUAAUACCGGAUAAUAUAUUGAACCGCAUGGUUCAAUAGUGAAAGACGGUUUUGCUGUCACUUUUAGAUGGAUCCGCGCCGCAUUAGCUAGUUGGUAAGGUAACGGCUUACCAAGGCAACGAUGCGUAGCCGACCUGAGAGGGUGAUCAGCCACACUGGAACUGAGACACGGUCCAGACUCCUACGGGAGGCAGCAGUAGGGAAUCUUCCGCAAUGGGCGAAAGCCUGACGGAGCAACGCCGCGUGAGUGAUGAAGGUCUUCGGAUCGUAAAACUCUGUUAUUAGGGAAGAAAAAAUGUGUAAGUAACUAUGCACGUCUUGACGGUACCUAAUCAGAAAGCCACGGCUAACUACGUG